ensembl:lncRNA novel transcript
GGUCCGCUCGUCAACGGCUAGUCAACGGCUGCGGGGACAAGUCCGUUGAGGCUGCCAGGCGAGUCAGGCCUUUCUGGACCUCGCCUGACUCGGAUGGGCUGUGCCUGAAAUUGACCCAGCUCCACUAGGGAUUAUGAAGAAACAAGGAGUAAACCCAAAGCCGCUGCAAUCUUCCCGCCCCAGCCCGUCUAAGCGGCCGUACGGGGCCUCCCCCGCCCGGGAGCUGGAGGUGGAAAAGUCGGCCCUAGGCGGCGGGAAACUGCCAGGGGGCGCCAGGAGGUCCUCCCCGGGGAGGAUCCCAAAUCUGAAAAAGCGAAAAGGCUUGGAGCUAAAGGUGGUGGCCAAGACCCUUCUCGACCCCUUCCAGUUCGUCCGUAAUUCCCUGGCGCAGCUCCGGGAAGAGGUGCACGAACUGCAGGCGCGGUGGUUCCCCAGCAGAACCACUCUCAGCAUCGGGACUUUAUUAUUCCUACUUCAAGACCAUCAUUGAAGCACCUUCAUUUUUGGAAGGACUGUGGAUGAUUAUGAAUGACAGGCUUACUGAAUAUCCUCUUGUAAUUAAUACAGUAAAACGCUUCCAUCUUUAUCCAGAGGAUUGGGAGAUCCUGCUUGCUUUUAUGUUGGUGUAAUCUUUAUUUUAAAUGGACUAAUGAUGGGAUUGUUCUUCAUGUAUGGAGCAUACCUGAGUGGGACUCAACUGGGAGGUCUUAUUACAGUACUGUGCUUCUUUUUCAACCAUGGAGAGGUUUGUUUUCUAGAAAGCAAUUUUUAAGAAAUAGAAGAGGCUGUAGAGGAACAAGGAAAUAUACUCAUCAAAACAAUAUUUAAUUGUAUACUACUUAUGACUUCACAAUAUUUUAAAGACCCUCGUGUUGCCACCCGUGUGAUGUGGACACCACCUCUCCAUGAAAGUUUUUCCUAUCCUUUCCUUGUACUUCAGAUGUAUAUUUUAACUUUGAUUCUCAGGACCUCAAGCAAUGAUAGAAGGCCCUUCAUUGCACUCUGUCUUUCCAAUGUUGCUUUUAUGCUUCCCUGGCAAUUUGCUCAGUUUAUACUUUUUACACAGAUAGCAUCAUUAUUUCCCAUGUAUGUUGUGGGAUACAUUGAACCAAGCAAAUUUCAGAAGAUCAUUUAUAUGAACAUGAUUUCAGUUACCCUUAGUUUCAUUUUGAUGUUUGGAAAUUCAAUGUACUUAUCUUCUUCUUAUUCUUCAUCUUUGUUAAUGACGUGGCUAAUUCAAGGUAGUGCCUGGUGGUGUGGAACAAUCAUUUUGAAAUUUCUGACAUCUAAAAUCUUAGGCGUUUCAGACCACAUUCGCCUGAGUGAUCUUAUAGCAGCCAGAAUCUUAAGGUAUACAGAUUUUGAUACUUUAAUAUACACCUGUGCUCCCGAAUUUGACUUCAUGGAAAAAGCGACUCCACUGAGAUACACAAAGACAUUAUUGCUUCCAGUUGUUAUGGUGAUUACAUGUUUUAUCUUUAAAAAGACUGUUCGUGAUAUUUCGUGUGUUUUAGCUACAAACAUUUAUCUAAGUUUUAGGCCAGGUGCGGUGGCUCAUGCCUAUAAUCCCAGCACUUUGGGAGGCCAAGGCGGGCGGAUCACGAGGUCAAGAGAUCGAGACCAUCCUGGCCAACAUGGUGAAACCCCGUCUCCACUAAAAAUACACAAAUUAGCUGGGCGUGGUGGCACGCACCUGUAAUCCCAGCUACUCGGGAGGCUGAGGCAGGAGAAUUGCUGGAACCCAGGAGUCGGAGGUUGCAGUGAGCCAAGAUUGCCACCACACUCCAGCCUGGCAACAGUGCGAGGCUCCGUCUCAAUAAUAAUAAUAAUGAUAAUGAUAAUUUUUAAAAAUGUCUAACUAGUUUCUUCUGUUGUAUAUUUUGCCUUUAAAAUUAACUUGCUAUUUAUUGAGAUGGAUGUUCAGUUUUAGUAAAUGCUCUGUGAGGAUUUUUUAAAUGUUCAUUUCUUAUUUAGGGGAAGUUCAAAGUUACAUGUUAUAUCAUGUUAUUAAUAGUGCUAUUCUAAAUGGUCUCUUAUUUUUCUACUUUUUCUGUUUUCUUAGAAUGCUAUCUUCACAUGCAACAUUAAAAAUGAAUUUUUCAAAAUUG